UACGUAGGGUGCAAGCGUUGUCCGGAAUUAUUGGGCGUAAAGAGCUCGUAGGCGGCCUGUCACGUCGACUGUGAAAACCCGAGGCUCAACCUCGGGCCUGCAGUCGAUACGGGCAGGCUAGAGUUCGGUAGGGGAGACUGGAAUUCCUGGUGUAGCGGUGAAAUGCGCAGAUAUCAGGAGGAACACCGGUGGCGAAGGCGGGUCUCUGGGCCGAAACUGACGCUGAGGAGCGAAAGCGUGGGGAGCAAACAGG
rnacentral:rRNA from 1 species